rnacentral:rRNA from 1 species
AUACGGAGGAUGCGAGCGUUAUCCGGAUUUAUUGGGUUUAAAGGGAGCGUAGGUGGGAUAUUAAGUCAGCUGUGAAAGUUUGGGGCUCAACCUUAAAAUUGCAGUUGAUACUGGUUUCCUUGAGUACGGUACAGGUGGGCGGAAUUCGUGGUGUAGCGGUGAAAUGCUUAGAUAUCACGAAGAACUCCGAUCGCGAAGGCAGCUCAACGGGUCGGCACUGACACUGAUGCUCGAAAGUGCGGGUAUCAAACAGGAUUAGAUACCCUGGUAGUCCGCACAGUAAACGAUGAAUACUCGCUGUUUGCGAUACACGGUAAGCGGCCAAGCGAAAGCGUUAAGUAUUCCACCUGGGGAGUACGCCGGCAACGGUGAAACUCAAAGGAAUUGUCGGGG